GAUGAACGCUGGCGGCGUGCCUAAUACAUGCAAGUCGAGCGAACGGACCAGAAGCUUGCUCCUCUGAUGUUAGCGGCGGACGGGUGAGUAACACGUGGAUAACCUACCUAUAAGACUGGGAUAACUUCGGGAAACCGGAGCUAAUACCGGAUAAUAUUUUGAACCGCAUGGUUCAAAAGUUAAAGACGGUCUUUCUGUCACUUAUAGAUUGAUCCGCGCUGCAUUAGCUAGUUGGUAAGGUAACGGCUUACCAAGGCAACGAUGCAUAGCCGACCUGAGAGGGUGAUCGGCCACACUGGAACUGAGACACGGUCCAGACUCCUACGGGAGGCAGCAGUAGGGAAUCUUCCGCAAGGGGCGAAAGCCUGACGGAGCAACGCCGCGUGAGUGAUGAAGGUCUUCGGAUCGUAAAACUCUGUUAUUAGGGAAGAACAAAUGUGUAAGUAACUGUGCACAUCUUGACGGUACCUAAUCAGAAAGCCACGGCUAACUACGUG
rnacentral:rRNA from 1 species